AAAAGAGGAGCCGAUACGAUUGAAUUAGGGUUCAUAAAGAGAGAUCUGAAAAGAGGGACAUGGGUCAUGGGCACCUUGCUUAUUAAUGUCUUCGUUCAUUUACUUUCUUUCUUUCUUUCUUUUUUUGCAGGGACUGUGCGUUGCAGAGAGAGAUUCUUUCUCAUUUAAAGCGGGGGUGGUUCUUCUUCCUCCUUCUCUCGGGUUCGGUACUGUAAGUAUCGCCUUCAUUGUUCAUAUGGUCGAUCGCUUCGUCGGGUAUCUCAGGUUUCUCUGUUUUCAGGGUUUUGUUUUUCUGAUCCCCCCUCUGUUUUCAGAACUUCUUGCAAACCCCAUGAAUCAAGAACUCGUUUUCAUUCAGAAGGACAUAAUUGCUCCUUUCUUUUGGAUGUGAAUUUCGUCAUUUCGACCUCGGCCGCAAUUGAUUAAUGUUGGUGAAGAACAAGAUUUUUUCCACCACGAUAUCUUUGUGCCGAUCCUUCAACAUGAUUUAUAAACUAUUCUUUUGUACUGUGAUUUAAUACAGUGCCACAGAGAAGUCGAUAGAAAUGGCAAACCAUGUCUUUUUCCCAAGAUGUUGAUGGAAUUCUCCAUGUUAUGCCAUAAAAAAGAUGUACUUUCACCGUUUUCACUCGACAUGCUCUAGCAAAUUUAAAAGUCUCGAAUAUGUCAAUGAUUUGGUAGAUGGGCAUAAACAAUAAUUUUCUAUUCUUGCAUAACUUAGUGUGCCUUUUUUUGCUAGCUGACCCUGGUGACCUAAGUUCUAGAUGCCUAAGUUUCUACGGAGGCCGGAUAAUUAUUCACUAAUAUCUGCGAUAUAACAAUUUUGGAAAAGUGUUUUUGACUCUUCAAGUUUGUUAAUAAGCAUCACCUCGAAAGUCACGACUCUCCAAAACCGACUAUUAGAAUCAUGCCUUGAUUUCAGGGAGCGCUAUAAAAUCUAAUUGAAGUCCCGGUUUUCAUAUGAUCCGAAAAAAUAACUUAACAAUUUACAACAUUUUCUCAGUUCUUUAGCUAUAACUAUAUAAUCCACCUUCUUCUUUUUUUUUUUUACAUGGACGGUCGGUGUACUCUCUCUUGACAAGGCUUAUGAGGUCGAUGUCCCAUGUAACAAAACUAGGGUUUCAGAAUCCCUCCAAGGUGGCGUGCAUAAAUGGAGUCUAGAGGGGGGGAAAACAAGUAGAGAAAAUAAUUUAGAGAGAGAGAGAGAAAGAGAGAGAAUAACACAAACAGACACAGGGGGGGCUUAAAUGCAGUGGCCCAAAUUUCUGCUUUGGUAGUCGCGGGUUUUAAAUGCUCCCACCCCUCUUUGCGUCUUCUUAAAUCCCCCUCCCUCAGACAUUCUUACCGCUCCUCCGCCUCUCCCCUUCACUCCUCUCUCUCUCUCUCUCUCUCUCUCUCUCUCUCUCUCUGAGCUCUUUCUUCUCUCUGUUUGUUUGCUGUUCUCUCAGAGAGAGAGAGAGAUGGAGUUUCUCUUCAUGAUCUCUUUCAUAUCCUCGUCCAUGCAAUAAUAGAGAACUGUCUCUCUCUCUGUCUCGCCCCCUCUUUACUAUACUAUGAUUGUGUACAUGGAACAGUUAACUUGGAUAUUGGCCUGGUUCACUCAGACACCACCUAAAGACGUCGUUUGUUGCAGCAAAAUACUCGACGAGAGUGGUUUGCUCUCUCUGUUUCUUGGUCUUUGAUUGAGCCGUGCCAAUAUCUCAGUGCUCUUCCAAUUUCUCCACCCUUCCUUUUACGCGGCGAGGGUUCACCGAAGCCCCACAAUUUUUUAGGUCAUCUCGAAGCAUGAUCUGAAGCAGCAUUGAUGUCCGGAGAUUUUGGAAGAAAUCCGGCAAGCGGUUCCUUCGAUCGAGUGUUAUCUUUUUCGAUUUCUUUCGCAUGGAGCGAAACGGUCUAAAAUCACGAGGAAGUUUCUUACGUGACGGAUGCACCGCACGUCAAUGAAUCAGAACUUUGAGACUGUAGAAAUGACUAACAUUUUGAAUAUCCGGUGUCGUGUAAUGUCAGUUUUGUUGAAUGAGUGAUUGGUUUGCUUGCUAUGAUAUUGUGCAAUUGUUGUACCAAAUGAAUAUUUAUAACAAGAAACGUACAGCGUACCACGCAUGCUGUAAAAAUUUCUCAUUUCUGUAAUUGCUUUUUUCAAACUGAUUCUUCUUGCAGGAAUGA